AAAUUUUCAGAUGGUAAAACAGGAGAGGAGGACCGGAUUAUCAUACAAGAAGAUAUGGACGACCUUGAAAACUGCAGUAAUAGAAAUGGGAUGAAAUGUAAUAGUUCAAAGUGCAAGGUCAUGUA